AACGGACAAGCCGAAAACCGUUUCAAAGAGUAGGCA
rnacentral:ncRNA from 1 species